rnacentral:rRNA from 1 species
GAUGAACGCUAGCGACAGGCCUAACACAUGCAAGUCGAGGGGCAGCGCGGGAGAAGCUUGCUUUUCCUGGCGGCGACCGGCGCACGGGUGAGUAACGCGUAUCCAACCUGCCCAUGGGUCAGGAAUAACCUUCCGAAAGGGAGCCUAAUACCUGAUGUUGUGAGAAGAAGGCCUCUGAUUUUCACGAAAGACUUCGGUCGCCGAUGGAUGGGGAUGCGUACGAUUAGGCAGCAGGCGGGGUAACGGCCCACCUGGCCAACGAUCGUUAGGGGUUCUGAGAGGAAGGUCCCCCACACUGGUACUGAGACACGGACCAGACUCC